GAUGAAGAACGUAGCGAAAUGCGAUACGUAAUGUGAAUUGCAGAAUUCAGUGAAUCAUCGAGUCUUUGAACGCACAUUGCGCCCCCUGGUAUUCCGGGGGGCAUGCCUGUCCGAGCGUCAUUGCUGCCCUCAAGCACGGCUUGUGUGUUGGGCCUCCGUCCUCCUCCCGGGGGACGGGCCCGAAAGGCAGCGGCGGCACCGCGUCCGGUCCUCGAGCGUAUGGGGCUUCGUCACCCGCUCUUGUAGGCCCGGCCGGCGCUUGCCGACACAUCAAUCUUUUUUCCAGGUUGAUCUCGGAUCAGGUAGGGAUACCCGCUGAACUUAAGCAUAUCAAUAAGCGGAGGA
rnacentral:misc_RNA from 1 species